AGAGUUUGAUCAUGGCUCAGGAUGAACGCUGGCGGCGUGCCUAACACAUGCAAGUCGAGCGAUUCUCCUCGGAGAAGAGCGGCGGACGGGUGAGUAACGCGUGGGUAACCUGCCCUGUACACACGGAUAACAUACCGAAAGGUAUGCUAAUACGAGAUAAUAUGCUUUUAUCGCAUGGUAGAAGUAUCAAAGCUUUUGCGGUACAGGAUGGACCCGCGUCUGAUUAGCUAGUUGGUAAGGUAACGGCUUACCAAGGCGACGAUCAGUAGCCGACCUGAGAGGGUGAUCGGCCACAUUGGAACUGAGACACGGUCCAAACUCCUACGGGAGGCAGCAGUGGGGAAUAUUGCACAAUGGCGAAAGCCUGAUGCAGCAACGCCGCGUGAGCGAUGAAGGCCUUCGGGUCGUAAAGCUCUGUCCUCAAGGAAGAUAAUGACGGUACUUGAGGAGGAAGCCCCGGCUAACUACGUGCCAGCAGCCGCGGUAAUACGUAGGGGGCUAGCGUUAUCCGGAAUUACUGGGCGUAAAGGGUGCGUAGGUGGUUUCUUAAGUCAGAGGUGAAAGGCUACGGCUCAACCGUAGUAAGCCUUUGAAACUGGGAAACUUGAGUGCAGGAGAGGAGAGUGGAAUUCCUAGUGUAGCGGUGAAAUGCGUAGAUAUUAGGAGGAACACCAGUUGCGAAGGCGGCUCUCUGGACUGUAACUGACACUGAGGCACGAAAGCGUGGGGAGCAAACAGGAUUAGAUACCCUGGUAGUCCACGCCGUAAACGAUGAGUACUAGCUGUCGGAGGUUACCCCCUUCGGUGGCGCAGCUAACGCAUUAAGUACUCCGCCUGGGGAAGUACGCUCGCAAGAGUGAAACUCAAAGGAAUUGACGG
rnacentral:rRNA from 1 species